GUAAUAUAAGAUACAGUCUCUUAGCUUUUAACUAAAAAAAUUAAGAGACGUCUCUUAGUUUUUUUAGUUAAAACCUAAGAGACUGUAUCUUAUAUUAC
rnacentral:pre_miRNA from 1 species